AUACACUCGCGGGAGGGGCCGCGCGGCCGCCUAUAGGAGCGUGGCUGGCUGCGCUUUCUGGGGUCGGUGGUCUUGGGGCUAUGUCGUCUUGUAAGCGCGAAGGAGCUAGAGGACUGGGCAUAUGCUUGGGGACCGGUGAGAGAAGAGUCCGGCGGCCGGUGGCAGCUGGGCCGGAGCGGAGACGGCGGCCCGAGCUCCGACCUUCCCCCUCGGACGCCGGGACCCCGCCCCGCACUCGGCGCUCGGGCCUGUGUGUUUCUAAUUUGAUGAUUGUGCAGAGAACCCAAAGUGGAGUCCUGGGAAGAGUAUGGCAUCCCAAAGACUGCUCUGAGACUGAGGGCCUGGUUCCUAGCUAGAGAGUCUACCUUACUUGCUUCCAUCUGACACAGGAAGGAAGGAUGAAUCCAGCACCUUGGCGACAGACUCAGGAGUUCAAGUCAUGGAACAGGAUAGGACCUGACCACCUACUGUCUGUGCCCUGGAGCCAAAGACUGCCAAGGACUUACCUGUUGUCAAACAAAGUUGGCUGUGUUGACUUGUUGCAAUGAAGGAGUCUGUAUACUGUGGGGAAACAUGGGGCAUCUCAGUGAGAGGGUGUUAGAAGGGACUUACAAAAGAGUUUGGGCUUGUGUUAGGUGACUUGGGAGAAGUCUCAAAGAGGUCAGAGUUUGCUCUAGUUUGGAUGCUGUUGGGAAGCAGGGGCAAUUCUGUGAUUAGUUAUCUUAAUUUUUAUAUAGCAGGAGGAAGAAUGCAGCAGGCCUAAAGCUGUGACUUGUAAAGAAAUAGUCACUUGUGUUAGCUGGGGGAUGUUUGGUGAUUUUUUUGUGAUUUACCCAAUGACCUUGUUUUUGUCUGUGCUCAUACAUGAUUAUGGAAUGUUCUAGUUUUUGUGUGACCUCAUCUGAUGUUGGUGAUUUGUGAGGUUGGCUAUGUUCAAUAGGAGAACAUUGCAGCCAGCUGUGAGCACCAGGCCAACUCCCAGCUCUCAGGGACUACUCUAUUUCACUACAAAUGCAAAGCCUUGAUCCUCAAGUUUCAGACUACUCUAUACACCAGUCUCAUCUCUUCCUGUUGGGAUAAGGAUAAUCAGAUUUGCAGUCCAUCCUUAGGAGAACUGCCUGAGAAAAACAUGGAUAGGGUGAUUGUACAUUCCAGUUUUCUGGUAUAGCCCUGAUUUUAAAUAAUUACUCAAUUACCUUGGAUAUAGUUUUGCUAAAUACUGUAUUUCAUAUAAUUUUUAUUAGCAAAGGGUAUUCAUUACUCAUCUGGUCCUCUGAGAAGCGGACAAUAAGAUGGAAUUAGAAGUACAAAAAAUAUUACUGGGGAAAACAACUGUGAAGGUUCAAAGCUUCAAAGGCCAAGAGUAGGCAGGGAGAGCCUUCAGUCUGUGAUAUAGGUCAGAUAACUGUGAAAAGUGAGGGAAAGAAGGAACUGGGUAGGAAGAACCUCAGACCUCAGUAUAAUUCUGAGAAAAACUUGCCAGGCUUCUGGGAAUUCCCAAGCUAAAGUUUCCCAUUAGAAGAAGAGUUCAGCACUUGGGCCCCCCCUAUGCUUGGUUGUUGCCUGAGGCAGCCAGGGAGAGGGUGGUCUCAGCAUCCCUGGGGAUGGCAGCCAAAGCUGUCAAGUCAGCUCUGCUCCCUGCAGCAGGUUCUGUUAAAGUGAUCUAAGUGGCAUCCUCCAUGGCCACUUGGUACCCUCCAUGGCCACUACAGUCAUAGGUUUCUGCAGGGGUCAGUACCGCUUUAUUUUUGGUCAUUUGAGUCAGUUCAGGUCCUCCUGAAGCAGAGACCAAGACGGGAUUAGACAUGCAAGAGAUUUAUCAAGAGAAAUGCUUAUGAAGGAUAAAGGGAGAAGAGAACAAGAGAAAAACUUAUAUAAAUGUAAUUUAAACUGUGUACAGUGAAUGAAUAAAUAUGUCAUGUUAAGUGACAGAAUUGGAAUUUGAAGCAUCAAACAAAUAAGGUCUGCCUGCACUGUUUUUGCAUGAUACCUUUCUGUGAGGGGCUUCUCAGAUACCCUCUAUCUCAGUGGUUCUCAUCGUCUCAACUGGGGUUGAUUUUGACUCCCAGGGAACAUCCAGCAAUGUCUGGAAACAUUUUUGAUUGUCAAAACUGGGGUGGAAUGCUACCAACAUCUAGGAGAUAGAGGAGUUUCUGUCUCCUUCUGGGAUCAUAACUGAUUCUGGGUGCAACUUAUUCCCAAGGGGAGUAACAGAGUUGAACACAGGUCUGCCAUAGGUUUGCUCUUUGGCUUUUGAUUCAGGGCCAGUGAGCUAUGAUUCUAUCACCUAGGAAUAAGCAGGCAGGAAGGCACAUGGGGCAUAGUACCCUUCUAGGUCCAGGCUCUUAAAAAAGAACUAGCCUGUGAGAGGACUGAUUCAAAACAAAGGCCAAAUACCAUGACCUAGGGACUAGGAAUUUGUUGAAAAGGAUCUAGGGCUUGACCCAGCUACCCAGUUAAAAACAAGCUUCUCCUACAUAAAGACUCAUGGCAGCAGAUUCUAGGGAACCAGGUGAACAAGUCAUCAUUACUUCUUUAAGAUCUUUUAAUUUGUCUGCCCACUAACUACUAGUUCUCUCCUAUGUUCAGGCUUUGGGUCUGCAAUGGCUCCAUGGCAUAAACUGCUAGUUCCCUACCCAGUGGCCAUUUACCCCUUUUUUCCCUUAAAGAAGUUUAAUUGUAUUUGAGAUGCCAAGGUACCAAUCUAAAAGGUUGCACUUAGCCUUCCUUGCAGCUAGGCAUUUGACCAAGUUCUGACCUAUAAGAUAUAAGGAAAAGGGAAGGCUCCUUAAGGAAGCUGACAAGACCUUUCUUGCACAUUCUCCUUUUACUCUUACUUGAUGUCUGGAAUGUGGAUAUAAUGGCUGGAGCUCCAGCAGCCAUUGCAGACCAUAAGAUAACAUCAAAGAUGGAAGCCCCUCCAUAGGAUAGUAGCACAGAAAGAUAAAAGGGAGUUUGAUCCCCUGUGACCAUGGAGAUGUUAUCCCAGCAUUAGAUUAUCUGUCUAUAGAUUUCUCUCUUGUUUAAACCCCUAUUUUAGAUUUCCCAUUAUAUGCAAUCAAACCUAGUAUUAACUGAUACAGGUACCUACUUCCUACUGAUAUUAACUUCUUGUACCAUGUUUCUCAAGUUAUAUUAAACAACAACCAGUCUGAUUUCAGCCAGUCCUGAGUAUUGUGCAUAGUACUACUGCUCAGUGGUUAGAACUUAAGACUGAGGCAGACCAUCCAGAGGAGCUAUUCUGUGGCUAAUAGGUGUCUUCCAAAAUCCUGAGCUGGUAGGCAAUUGGCUUCACCUAAGCCAGCUUGUUUUCUACCAUUAUACAUUGUGUUCAACUGGAGAUCUCUAAACACUACCAAUGCCCAGCCCCACUUCCCAGAGAUUCAGUACAGCCUGAACAUUUUUAAAGUACCCUAAAUGUUUCUAAUGCCUGGCCAGGUUGGGAACCACUGAGGUAACCUUAAGUAUGGCCUGAGCAGUAUUAGUUCAAAGCCAACUGCAUGGCCUGGCUAUCUUCCCAAGAGAAUUGUCUUUCCAGUACAGUAAGAAAAUGGUUCUCAGCUAAGUACACUGUGGUUUUUACCUACAUAAGUAAAAGUUAUGGCAUGAUCUUUUAAGUGUAGUACUGUAUUAGUCAAGGUUGUCUAGGGAAUCAGAACUGACAAGAGAUGUCUGUAAAUAAUGUGAGAUUUUUAUAAGAAUUGUCUCACAACUGGGGGGAUGCACAAGUCCAAAUUCCAUAGGGCAG